GAUGAAGAACGUAGCGAAAUGCGAUAAGUAAUGUGAAUUGCAGAAUUCAGUGAAUCAUCGAAUCUUUGAACGCACAUUGCGCCCGCCAGUAUUCUGGCGGGCAUGCCUGUUCGAGCGUCAUUUCAACCAUCAAGCCCCCGGCUUGUGUUGGGGACCUGCGGCUGCCGCAGGCCCUGAAAAGCAGUGGCGGGCUCGCUGUCACACCGAGCGUAGUAGCAUACAUCUCGCUCUGGGCGUGCUGCGGGUUCCGGCCGUUAAACCACCUUCAUAACCCAAGGUUGACCUCGGAUCGGGUAGGAAGACCCGCUGAACUUAAGCAUAUCAAUAAGCGGAGGA
rnacentral:misc_RNA from 1 species